ACUCAACCUUUGCUUUAGUCUAUGCUUUUGGUGGCGGCUGGAUCAUUUGAGUCAUUUGUGUCCAAUUGUUUGGAGAUAUUAAAAAAGGUGAAAGAUGAAUAUCGUUCAGAAUUUACAGCCCCAAAAUCCAAACGCUUCGUAUCACUCGGCAGGAUGUGACUGGAUCCAGUCAGAAGCCAGUACUGGGACAUCGAUUAUGGCAGUGGAAUUUGAUGGAGGAGUAGUUAUUGGAGCAGAUUCAAGGGCUACAACAGGUGCUUAUAUUAGCAACAGAACUGCCGACAAGUUGACCAAAAUCACAGAUAAUAUCUACUGCUGUCGUUCUGGAUCUGCAGCGGAUACACAGGCUAUUGCUGACAUCGUCUCCUAUCAUUUAGGAUUUCGUCAGAUGGAGCUUGGAACUCAGCCAUUAGUUGAAACAGCAGGAAAAGUUUUUCGGGAGAUGUGUUACAACUAUCGGGACUCUCUCGUUGCCGGAGUAUUAGUUGCUGGCUGGGAUUCACAGAAGGGUGGCCAAGUUUACAGUAUUCCCAUCGGUGGCAUGUGUGUUCGUCAACCAAUUUCCAUCGGAGGAUCUGGUUCCAGCUAUAUCUACGGAUACGUCGACGCAAACUACAAGCCCAACAUGUCCAAGGAUGAGUGCAUUACACUCGUCAUCAAUAGUUUGGCAUUGGCUAUGAGCCGUGAUGGAAGCAGUGGAGGCGUGAUCCGCAUUGGAGUUAUUACAGAGCAAGGCGUCGAACGUCGACUAAUUAUUGGGGAUGAUAUUCCCAAGUUUUACGAAGGAUAAUUACAUUGAAACUGCAGAAGCACCUGCCGGUUUUCCUUUAUUCUUUCACAAUAAUUGAUGCCGUAUUUGUGACUGGGGAAGUGUCCAUCAGGAGAUAUUGCCAGAAAAUUUAUAAUAAAUAAGCCAUUAAGAUUUUACUCCAUAUCAUCUAUCACUAUACGAGAUGGAGACGGCCAAAUUGCUCUGUAAUAGAGGUUUAUA